UCCUGGAUGUCUAUUGGUCUCAGCCUUCAGUCGGUGGAGGCAAUUUACGAGUUAUUCUUCUUCUCAUCGAGGGGAAAUACGACCGCGUUCAACCCGAACAGCAAUUUAACAUCCCUCCUCAGUUACGGUAAUAGUUUAAGAAAUGCCUCCCAAAACUAUAAAAAUGGCUUUGGCCGAGAUGUUGGAGGACCUGAAAAAACAGGACUUUGAAAAGUUCUGUCACAGGCUUGUGGAUCGCAGAGAGGAGCCGCGCGUCAGACGCAACAGAGUGGCGGAUAAAAACUUUUUAGAAAUCGCAGACGUGCUGGUUUCAACUUUUACAGAGCCCGGAGCUCUUCAAGUUGCUCUGGAGAUAUUGAGAGAAAUUGACUGCAACGAGGAUGCGUCGGGACUUGUAAGGGCAACACGAGGACAAUAGACAUCUCGUUCUGAGACUGCAAGACCCUCAGCAGGAGCCAUCAUGGGAAGCACCCGAUGUAUCGACGACGCCUACGUGCUCUCAUCCAGGAAGUGAACAUCUUUGUACUAUAUGGGAUAAACUGGCCAGCAAGAAUAUUAUCACACAAGGGUUAUGUGCAUAAACCAACCGGAAAGACUAAUCAAUGUUUUGUAUUUUUUCAUCACAAUAAACAGUCUUUCUUGGCAUCUUC